UACGAAGGGUGCAAGCGUUACUCGGAAUUACUGGGCGUAAAGCGUGCGUAGGUGGUUUGUUAAGUCUGUUGUGAAAGCCCCGGGCUCAACCUGGGAAUGGCAAUGGAUACUGGCAAGCUAGAGUGCGGUAGAGGGUAGUGGAAUUCCCGGUGUAGCGGUGAAAUGCGUAGAGAUCGGGAGGAACACCAGUGGCGAAGGCGGCGAUCUGGGAAGAUACUGACGCUGAGGUGCGAAAGCGUGGGGAGCAAACAGG
rnacentral:rRNA from 1 species